rnacentral:rRNA from 1 species
UACGUAGGGGGCGAGCGUUGUCCGGAUUCAUUGGGCGUAAAGAGCUCGUAGGCGGCUUGGCAAGUCGGGUGUGAAAACUCCAGGCUCAACCUGGAGACGCCACCCGAUACUGCCAUGGCUUGAGUCCGGUAGGGGACCACGGAAUUCCUGGUGUAGCGGUGAAAUGCGCAGAUAUCAGGAGGAACACCGGUGGCGGAGGCGGUGGUCUGGGCCGGUACUGACGCUGAGGAGCGAAAGCGUGGGGAGCGAACAGG